ensembl:lncRNA
CAGUAGGGAGACAAGGAGACCAUGAAAGAGGAGUUAUAGCGCAAACACAGCGGUGAGAAAUGAAAGGACACCUUUACAUGUUGCAUUAAAGGCCCCUUUCCUCUUCACAGAGAUGAUCGCGGACUUUUAACUCCCUCAGCUCGCGUGGCAGGUGGGGGGCGAGCGUGGGCACACCGUCUCUCUGAAGUUUCCCUCCGUUGGAAGCAGUGUUUCCUUUAACGCGAGGAAAUUGCUGCUGAAUAUGAAAAGGGGGAAAGAACGUGACGGUAAUGAUGCGGAGCAGGUUCGCUCCUCCGUGGCUAUGCCAAUAAUGGAGUCCCUCGAGUGGGAGUGGGGCUCUGACGUGAGCGCCGCCGGAGGACUCUCGCUUUCUUAGAGGUACUUUUAAUGAGAGCCGACUGUCAUUAUGCCAUUUUCAUUGCUCCUGCCCCCUGUUCUGAGAUACGCGGUCGAGCGCGCCUAAACACGACGCACGCCCCGAAACGGAGUCUGCUCAUCUGGCGCCGCUGGCUUCUGACGCUCGCGAUUCAAGAAAAGAAAAAAAAAAAAAAAAAUAGCGCGACAGAGCAGACGCAGUUUUGCGCCAAAAGCCGGUCGCUGGAACAGAAACGCUCCGCUCGCAACCUUUCCGAAUUUAUUCUCUGAAAAAAGACCGCUGUCGCGUAAGAUGUUAAAACUGACAGAAAAAGAGGUUUGCAAAGCCCGUAAAACUGGUCGGGGGGGCGUAGAAAUAAACUGCUUCUGAGACUCACUCGGUUUGUUGGGGUCUGUCGUGUCGUGGCGCUCGAGCAGCGAGCGCACAGUGAGUGAUUAGAAGGCAGAAUAAGUCUGUGUGCUGAGUGUCUUCGUUUAAAAAAUAAGGGCGAACCCAUGAAAUGUCUCAUGGAAGACAUGAACUCGACAGUAAUGAUUUCUGUCCUUUAUUCUGUCAAGACGUACGAGCGGGAGCGCCGUGUGUCUGCGGGGCUCGUACUACUACGAGCGCUCCAAAUGUGAAACAGCAUGGAUCAGUGGAGGGGAGGAUGCGCUAUUGUUACCGCAGUUUUGUUUGUGUUGCCAUGGCUGCCAUUUGGCUCCGGGGGCCUCUGAUGAUGACUGAACAAGAUGUUCCUAGUCACAAGGCAGGAGCUGUCAUCCAGUCUCACCAAACCAGCGCCAACCCUCAGGUGGGGAUGAGUGGAGCAGGACAAACCUUUCAGAUCCGCCCGGUGAUGCUGGUGCCAGAUUCACCGCAUGUUCCAUCCUGCCACAGGCACACUUUGUGUUGCCAGUCAGCCAACUUCCACCGUCCUUCCAUCCACCCGCUGCUUAGGUGUGUUGGAAUGUCACUUCAGUAGGCAGGCUGGCAUGGCCACACAUGGAAGGAAAGGGGCAGGGUGCGAAAAUCUCAUCACAAAGGGAGACAGCAGUAACAAGGUGAAAGGCUGCCUCUGUUAACUAAAAGUUGACCUCCAUGUUAGACCACAGCACUUUCUCUGUUUCUUAUUUAUAGACAUUUGAAGGUGUUAGGGUCUAGUUUAUCUGCAGUAAAACCUGUCCUUUGUUUGCAGCCAUGUGCUUGUUCUUUAUAUGCUGCUUCCACAAGACCACAUACUCAGCAAUUCCAGAAGUGGUGGCCAG